AAGAGACCGAACAAGAAGGCUGGGAAGUUGAAGACCCAUCAGUUCACUGGCGCGCGUUCAUGUGAGAAGGGACCUGUGUUCCAAAAUGUUUUUCAAGACACAGGAACCAUCCGGUUGGAAUAUUACUGAAGUUUCACGUUCUAAAGGCCCUAAAGAUUGAUGCUUUACAACGUUUGACAUGUUUGAACGAACGUAAAUAGAUUUUUUUUUAAACUUUUCUUUUUGGCGUGCUUCCAACAUUUGGAGUAGCUGAACUGAACGUGCGAACAACAAGGAGCUAUUUGGACAUAAAUUAUGGAGUUUAUCGAACAAAACAAGAUUUAUUGUGGACCUGGGAUCCCUGGAAGUGCCUUCUGAUGAAGAUUAUUAAAGACAUAUCAGUGUGGAUGACGGAUCACCACCUCAAGCUGAACCUCGGCAAGACGGAGCUGCUCUUCCUCCCGGGGAAGGACUGCCCGUUCCAUGAUCUCAACAUCACGGUUGACAACUCCAUUGUGUCCUCCUUCCAGAGUACUAAGAGCCUUGGCGUGACCCUGGACAACACCCUGUCGUUCUCCGCUAACAUCAAGGCGGUGACCCGAUCCACAACAUUCGCAGAGUAUGACCCUGCCUAACACAGGAAGCGGCGC
rnacentral:lncRNA from 1 species